rnacentral:rRNA from 1 species
GAUGAACGCUGGCGGCGUGCCUAAUACAUGCAAGUCGAGCGAACGGACGAGAAGCUUGCUUCCCGGAUGUUAGCGGCGGACGGGAGAGUAACACGUGGAAAACCUACCUAUAAGACUGGGAUAACUUCGGGAAACCGUAGCUAAUACCGGAAUAUAAUUUGAUCCGUAUCGUUCAAAAGAGAAAUACGGUCUUACUGUUACUUAUAGAUGGAUCCGCGCUGCAUUAGCUAGUUGGUACAGUAACGGCCUACCAAGGCAACGAAGCAUAGCCGACCGGAGAGGGUGAUCGCCCACCCGGGAACUGGAACACGCUCCAGACUCCUACGGGAGGCACCAGUAGGGAAUCUUCCGCAAUGGGCGAAAGCCUGACGGAGCAAGGCCGCGUGAGUGAUGAAGGUCUUCGGUUCGUAAGACCCUGUUUUUGGGGAAAAACAGAUUUGUAAGUAACUGUGCACAUCUUGACGGUACCUUAUCAGAAAGCCACGGCUAACUACGUG